rnacentral:lncRNA from 1 species
GUUUAAAUGUCUACAUUCUUUCUAAUAAACUGUUGGAAGACUUCUUGGCUGUCCUUUUAAGUGUCUGGCUUACUGUAAUUUUUAUGUAUUUACCAUUUACUGGAAUGGAGUUUUUAGUUUUAUUUGAGGAAGAAUUUGGGAUUAUUCCUGUUUGAAAAAAGAGGCUUGCUGUAAUGUCACAGGAAACCUUUUUAAAGUGGAUCUGUAAUAGAAUAUUGUAGAUGCACUUUGUAGCAGUUGGAAAAGAAAGUGUUGUGAUUUGAUAAAAAUAAAACUAAAUGUGUUGUCCUCCUCUAAAAACAAAUAAAAAAGAAGCAGCUGUUCUGCA